UACGAAGGGGGCUAGCGUUGUUCGGAAUUACUGGGCGUAAAGAGCGCGUAGGCGGUUUAUCAAGUUGGGAGUGAAAGCCCGAGGCUUAACCUCGGAAUUGCUUCCAAGACUGAUAAGCUAGAGAGUGGUAGAGGAUGGUGGAAUUCCUAGUGUAGAGGUGAAAUUCGUAGAUAUUAGGAGGAACACCGGUGGCGAAGGCGGAUCUCUGGGCCUUACCUGACGCUGAGGCGCGAAAGCUAGGGGAGCGAACAGG
rnacentral:rRNA from 1 species